GGGACGCGCUGUGGGGAGGGCCAAGGGUGGCCGAGCGGAUUCUCAGCCCACAGCCCAGCAAUCGCUUCUCCUGCUGCGGCCUUGCUAGCGCCGCGUGGCCCCGAGCGAGACUCUGCUUUGGCCCUAAAGGGCCCCCCACAGUUGGCUUCCCUCCCUCGCUUUCUCCUUUGGAAAACUGGAGGCAUCGGAAUAAGGAGCCCGCGGAGGAAAACCGCAACGCCAACCAGGCCUUCACGUCGAAUCGCCGCAGCAAGUGGCCUCACCUGGUUUGGCUGCGUCUUGCCGAGGAACAAUGAGGAGUUGGAAGGCCCUCUUAUUUUCAUCGACUGGCCUGGGUGCAGGAAAACCGAAGAGGUUUUGGCCCCUGGAAACCAAAGGGUCCCAAGGACAAUUACUGUCAGCCAUUCCCCCACUCAAACCCAGGAAACUUAAUUUACACUACUUCAGGAGAAAUUCCUAUAUCAUCUACAAAUGAUGUGUUGUCUUUCCAUGCUCAUAACAAACCAGUCGAAGCAAAACAAAAGGAUCUCAAACUUACUCAUCUUCAGUCUUGAAAGGUCCCUCUGUGUUAAUGGAUGUAAUCAAAGGCCUUCUAAGGUUGCUGAUAGAUAACUAGAACCGAGCAUCUCCUUACAUGUCCGCCAUCGGAGAGUCCCAAGCUCCAGUCCUUACGUGAAUUUCCGGACUCUUCCAUAGCCCUUCCGGUAGAAUCCAGGUGGCCCCAUAGUUCUGCCUUUAGCAAGAGAGCUAUUUCCUAGGAGUAACUGGGUGGGCUGCAACCCGCCUGCCUCUUCACGUUGAGAAAAGCUUCUCUUGUGGGAAGGUCUGUUUCUAUUCAUCCGAUUUUCUAAUGUCUUUGAUCAGCCUAAAUAUUUUCUUGGCAAACGGAAAUUGACCAUGCCAUGAAUAUGAUAACAACCUGCUUGGAAAGAAGCUAUUUUGUUUCGAAGCGGCAAGCGGGGUUGGGGGGGGGGGGGGNUGGCUGGUAAGAAUGCCUGAAAUAGAUUCCUGAACAUACAUCUUUUUGCAGUCUCUGAAGCAGCUUUUUGAAAGAUAGUCAGAUAAACACACACCUGGUCUCCUAAAAGUCUUUGAUACACUUUAUAUUUAAAAAAACAGAACUUCAAUGGACGCCUCUGGAGAAUUUCCCUUUAAAACAUAGAUGAAAGGCAAGGUUAAUACAAUGUUCUCUUAAUCCCUUUGGCUUGUGAGUCAAAAUAAAUAUUUUCUUCUGCAUGUGAUUGUACAUCCUGCCAUUUGGCUGUGGCUAUAAGCAAAUCGACCGGUAAUAAAAGUGUUUUGAGGUUGUGUAUUAAA